AUUCCAUAUCCUGGUCUUUCUGGAGGACCAGCUAAGGAAGGCCACACCAAGCUACACUUUGAAAAGGAUGUGGGCAGGGGCCAGAGGCCGUCUCCGCCCUCUCCCCCACCCCCCGUCCAGUGUUUCCCAGCACGCGUCACCUUGGGACUCCGUCUUUUUUUCAUCCCACCCACAGGCACGUCACGGCAGUUUUGAAACUCUUCUGUUUCCUAAACGGGACAACAACUCCUCAUCACUGCUUUCCUAACGUUACAUUUUCAGGGACUUGAAACUUGAAAGCAUCAAUGAGCCCCCUCAUAGAAUAAUGCUGGCCCUUCUUCACAGCUUCGGUUGUGUAACCUGUAACACCUGGGAUGGGAGUGGGCCUUUUCCUGAGAUUUCCUCACAUGCUCCAGGCACCGUGUUUGUUAUAGAGCCCAAGUCUGCAGCAAAUGUGCUCAGGAAGUGGUCCCCACCUCUAGGAUCUAGUGAUUAAUAAACAGCAAGAGCUCUGCAGCCUGACUAACUGGGUUGGAAUCCCAGAUCUGCAUUAUACCAGCAGAUGAAUAGUUGGUAGAGUGACUCGGGACAUGCUACUUAAUCUCUCCUCCGUAAAGGAGCUAUGAAAAUAUUAGUAACGAAGCCAAUAGGAAUGGUUGAAAGGAUUAAAUAGCAGCACAGGUCAAGUUUUCCACACAGUGCCUGUUGUUGAAUAAAUAAGGCUGGCUUUAACUUUAGUUUACUUGCAAUUUUCAGCGCCUGAAAACCAGUCAACAUAUACGAAGGUGGGCCAAAGUAGCCCUGUGGGAUGCAGAGGUAAAGGAGGCACUCUUCCGACCACUGAGAACUCAGUAUUUUGGAGGAGACAGACAUGUAAAGAAGCGCUUCUGGAAGAAACAAAACCCAGCCUAUCCCGAGAGAUGCAUCUUCCUAACAUCCAGUCUAUCUCACCCCCCAUUGUACAGCAAGACAAUCUGAGUGGGAGGGACCCUCAUCUCCCACAUGGGUGUGGACCCUAAGCCAGUUGAAGUAAUCUCAUGCACCUUGUAUUGGUCGCUCUAGCGAUAGCCCUCUUACCCUGGCCUACAUCUAUCAGUACCCAAUAUUUACCUCAUUGCAAUAGUUGCAUAAAACCUCCACUGUCUCCCUGGAUGGCAGUAAGGAGCUAUUUGCUGCUGGCAGCUACUUUGUGACCAGGAAGAGGGUCAGCCUAAUGAUGACACCAAUGCAUGGAAAAGGAAAGGGCAGAUGAACUGAAGAGAAACAGAGCUUGGGUGCCGAUCAAGGCUUACCUGAAUCCAUCUACCCAAUAAAGCUGCAUAAGUCAAUAAAUUCCCUUUAGCAUCGAUUCUCAUUUGACUUGGAUUCUCUUAUAGUUGAAACCAAAAGCAUUCCAACUAUGACUGUUCACUGCAUACUUCUGAGUAGUAGCCAGUGCCAUUAACUCGCAGGUGGGAAAGAGUCUGAGCUAUGAACACGUGCAGGAAGAGAAGCUGAGAAUUCUACCUGAUUUAUAUGCCAGUUCCUUAUCAAGAAUGAGUAUCAGGACGCAGGCACAGCACAGAGAAGGACCAGGAUGAGGCCUGAUGUCAGAGCCUGUCUUCUGCUAGCACUCACAGCUGGGGUCCUCCUGCCUCUAUGGACAGCCCAGCCCAGGACCCCCAUCCUAACACAGGGUGGGAUCUGGAAUCACAUCUUAUUUUCUAAAUAUGCAGUUUCUGCUGGACCAGAGACGAGUUUGAAUGUCCCUGAGCUCUCCAAGCUCAAGGCAUUGUCUGUCCCCACCCACUGCUCUCCAAUAAAUAUGUAUUGUGCACCUACCAUGUCCCUGACCCUCUGUUAGGUUCUGGAUAUGCAACAGUGAAUAAAACCAGAGACCUUCAUGGAGCUUACAGCCUAAUAAGUAGGGCAGAUAUUGGUCAAAUAAUCAACAACAUAAAUCUUACAUUGU